AUUGAACGCUGGCGGCAGGCUUAACACAUGCAAGUCGAGCGAACAGAUGAAGUGCUUGCACUUCUGACGUUAGCGGCGAACGGGUGAGUAACACGUAAGGAAUCUACCUAUAAGCGGGGGAUAACAUUCGGAAACGGGUGCUAAUACCGCAUAAUAUCUUCUUCCGCAUGGAAGGAGAUUGAAAGACGGCUCUGCUGUCACUUAUAGAUGACCUUGCGGUGCAUUAGUUAGUUGGUGGGGUAACGGCCUACCAAGACGAUGAUGCAUAGCCGACCUGGGAGGGUGCUCGGCCACAUUGGGACUGAGACACGGCCCAAACUCCUACGGGAGGCAGCAGUUGGGAAUCUUCCGCAAUGGGCGAAAGCCUGACGGAGCAAUGCCGCGUGAGUGAAGAAGGCCUUCGGGUCGUAAAACUCUGUUAUAAGAGAAGAACAAAUUGUAGAGUAACUGCUACAGUCUUGACGGUAUCUUAUCAGAAAGCCACGGCUAACUACGUGCCAGCCGCCGCCGUAA
rnacentral:rRNA from 1 species